CGUGUGUGGGCGCCCAGCCCAGGAGCGCCACCUUUUGGGCCCUGCCCUCCCCUCCCCUCCCUCCCUCCGCCCAACCCCGGGAGGGCGCGGCCAGGCCGGAUCGUGGCAGGCAACAGGCACAGUAGUGCCACCUUGGGGGAACGGGCGAGCCGGGAAUCAGGGUGCAGAGGGAGGCUUCGGGAACGCCGAUGGGGAAGCGGCACAGUCCUCCCUCCCGCGCUCACGCGGGGUAAAUGGCCGGAGUGGAGUGGAGUGGAGGGGGGCUCCCGUGCGGCCCUUUGCCUCGCUCAGCCGGGCUCUGCCUUGCCUCUGGCAGCCGAGUCCUCCCGCGGCGCAAACCGCCGGCCUUCCCUAGUCCUCUCCGCCUCUCCCACCCGGCCCCUUCCCAGCCCCGCCCUCGAGCAUUCAGACCCCGCCCCGCAGCCCGGUGAAGGUCCCGCCCCCUCCGCCUGCCGGCCCCGCCCCCCGUUUCCGCUGGCCGCGGCGGUGCGGGAGGGAGCGGAGCCGGGGCGCCACACCGAGUCCAAGCGCGGAGAAAGCUGUGGUACUCGAGGCUGGAUUAUGGGUUGUGUUAUGCUACUCAACACAAUGUAAGUAUCUCAUGCUGUAUUUAUUGUAGCAUGAGUAAUGACAAGGAAGAGGUGUGAACAUGCUCAAUACAGGAACAUUUUUGUUCCCCAAUGAUUUUGGUCUCUAGUUGGUGUGGAAUCUUAGAGGUAGAGGGAGGCCACUUAUAAUUUUUGUCAGCUGUAUCCAUGGUAGCUGUUGUUUGCAUACUAAUAUUUUAUUCACGUUUUUAUGUCAUUUAGCUGUCUUCUCUUCACGUUAUAGGUAUGAGAUGUUCACUAAACUCUCUUUUGGCACUUAGAGUGUGCAGGCAGGAGGCUGAGGUCUCGGGAAUUCAGGAGUGAAUUGAAUGUAAUGUCCUGGAUACUUGGAGGCAGGGACUGUGUGGCUCUGGAUCUCUCAGUGAUUUCUUCCUCUUAGCACUCAGGGAUCCCAGCUAGGAUGCAGAGAAAUCAUUUCAGAGCCGUUCAUUUCAAUAGGGUUCAUCACAGUGCCAAGCCCCAAAUUGUAUUCCUAUACCCCAUCUUGUCUUUGUCACCUCUUGAUAAGUGACCUUGAGGUGUGGCUAGAAUGAAGACUGUGUCUUAGAACCAUGGAGAACCUCGUGACCACAACUUGUGUGUGAACAGUGGCUUGGGAUGUUUUCUCCAUCCUUACCUUUGCUUGGCUUACACUAGAUGUCCUAGGUCUCAUUCAUUCCAAAGGACUGAGGACCUUUUCGGGGGCUGUCGCUGCUCUAGACUCCGGGGACACAAGAGUGUAGCAAAGUCCCUGCCCGCACAAGCUUAUGUUUUGGUGGAGAAAACAGACCGUAAGAGGAUGGUGACAGAUGCCACAGCGAAAGGUAACAUGGGGAAGGGUGGUGAGGAUGGGUACAGGCAGGGACCACAGAGCGCCUCAUAGAAAGGGCCUUUUAAUGAAAGAUGGAAGAGUGUGGAUAACUGGGGGAGGGGGAGAGAUUUAUACCUGAGGGCAGAGGCAGCCUGGAGGUAUAAAGGCCCUGGGGUACCAGCCCUGGAGACUGUUAAAGGUCAUCCACCUUGGAGGAACAUGAGCCCAGGGAAGGCCACUGGGCUGGGAUCACAGGGCUAUAGCUUUUUGUUGUUUGAAACAGGGUCUCACUGUAUAGCACUGGCUAGCUCUCUGCUUGCCUUUGUCUCCUCCAGUGCUGGGAUUAGAGGCAUAUACCACCACACCCAGCCAGAAGGCUGUAGCUUUUAUGGUGGGAGAGAGGGGAGCCACCGGGAGAUUUGGACACAGGAGUGACAGCUGCCUUAAGUUUGUGGCUGUGAUGCAACAGUGGCUGUUCUUUCUCAGGCGCUUACAGUGCCCGUCCCACUUACCCCUCACCACUUGGUUUUGCUGAGGAGGAGGCUGAGGUGUCUGAGGACCCGAAGGCGCGCCCAGUCUGAGUUUGUGCUCUGGGAUGAAGGGAGUGCUUGUUGAGGACAAUAGCAACAGGUCAGGCUGACUGUGCAUGACCCUGGGCUACUCUAGGUCUCUGGAACAAGGGGCAGCCCCUCCUCUUGCUCUGGUUUGGUGGAAGGAGGGGCAGAUGGGUUCCAGAUGGGGGAGGCUGCUUGGGAAGAGAAACUGGUGCCCAUCUGCAGACAGAUCCCUCCCACCCUCUUAAGUCUUUGUGUUUGACUCCUCCUACUCACCCUGCGGUUUAGAGACCUGGCCUUUCAGCUACCGACUUUGGACUGGCCUUGAGCUCGUAGCCCCAGGCAGAGUGGAGAUCACUGCCUUGCCCUCCCCAGGGAAGGGACCUCCCUCUCUUUCAGGUGAAGUUGGUCCCUAAACAGCCCACAUUUUAUCAUCCUUUUGUUUUUAGAGGCCUUCAGAUCACAGAUUUUUUUUUUUCUCUGUAAUCCUUGAAUUUAUUACUCCCUGAGGAAGCAAGGAGAGUUCCCCCUUGUUUUAAAGAAAGUGGCCAAGGGUGGAAAACUGGAGGCCAGAGAGUGAGGUUGAGGGAAUAGCCAGAGAGGGAACUUAGCCUAGUGCUGGGAAGCUGAGCCUGAGUGAGGCAUUGGGGGAAGAGCUGGGGUAGGGUGGGAUGGGGUUGGGUUUCUAGAUAUGGGGCUUAUUACUCUUAUAUUGACCAUACACAUUGGAGUCUGAAUUAGCUGUCUUGGGGAGGGAGACAUGAUUAGAUCUGUUUUGUGUUUUACACUUAUACUCAGGUUUACAUGCGCACUCAAACAUGCCCUCACUGGCCUCUACCUGGACUUCAUGUACGUACUCAUACAUGGCACAGCACUCACUUUUCCAGUUUAUCUGUCUCAUCCCGGGCCCAAAGAGAGGUGUUUGGGUGCACAUUUACAGUUGGCCCUGGCGGCUGCCCAUUGGCUGACUAGACAUGAGAGUUUCUGACAGUGAUAGGCUAUCUACUAUCAUAGACUUCACUUUGUGACUCAGUUUACCCAUUUUUUGUGUACAAAGAAGAGAGAACCUGGGGAGAUGGAGUACAUAGUGGGUAUGUACUGCUUAGACAGUAGAAGUCAAAUGCCAGUGUCCUUAUCAGGAACAAAGAAGGGACCUGGUGGUGGCAAGGCCAGGCUUGGCUUCUGCAGCUGGAGCAAGAGUGCCCUGACUGUGAGUAUGUACUAUCAACAGAACCCUUGGCCCCUGGCCUGGUGUUGCUUUGCAAGGUGGAAGUGACGGUUAUCACUGAAAGACUGUUCCCUUGCUGCCCAGGUCCCUUGGGUUUCCAGCCACAGAGCAAAGGGACCAUGUCCUUGACUUUGCUUCUCAUUCAGAAACCCGGUCUGACAAGAUGGCUCUCUGCAGGUAAAAGCCACCAGUCCCUGGGACCCACAUAACGGAAGAAGGGAAACAGCUCCCGAAAAUGUUGUCUUCUGUCUUUCACACACAUGCACGAAAAUAUGAAAACAAAAAUCCCAGCAACUUCACUGGCACCACUGAGAGAGAAUCCUCUCAGAUCAUCAUGCAGCUGCCGAGAUCCAAUUAGACUCGAACUACACCGUGGCUGUGGGGAGAGGGGAGGCAGAUGCUGUCUGCCGAGCUGCCUCCAUAAAUUUGAGUGGAGAGUGGUGCGGGGCCAGGCUGUUACUCAUCCUUGACUAUGUCUCCUGAUUGAGAAAUCCAGCAAGUAAAAACCCAAGGGUAUCCAGGCAGGGCUGCAAGGGGUAGAGGUGGCCUGACAUGCUUGUCAUAGCUCAGCCUAUAUUUGUCAUCUUUCUCAGUUCCUACACUGGCUGGCACCCUUCCAAGUCUUAAAGCUCUAGCUUUUUCAUAGGUGGGAGAGAGGGACCAAGUAAAGGGCCUUCUGCCGCAGUCCAUCCUAGGUGCCUGUCCUCUAGGCUUCUGUCUCCUGUGAGGUCUGCCUCACCCUUUCUGUUUAGGGCAUGGUGGCCUAUGUCCUGUGGUGCUGCUGGGCUGCUUCAGGAAUUGUCUGUCACACCCAGAGCCAUGCCUCAGUGUCCCCAUGCAUCCUGCUUAGAGGCUGUACCUUCCAUUUUUUGGUUCUUUCAGACAGUCUGUAGCCCAGACUGGCUUUCACGUAGUCCUCUUGCCUCAGUUUUCUAAGUGCUGGAAUGGCAGAUGUGAGUCCCAUUUCCUAACUGGUUGUAUUUCCUUUAUCACAUCGUUCAGGAAAAGAUAAAGUGACCCCAAGUAGGAAGGUGGGGAGAUGGCGCUGUUGCUUGAGUGCUGGUCAUAUAAACUUGAAGACCCAAGUUUGAUCCCUGGCACCCAGGUAAAAGCCAGUCGUGGCAGUGCACAUCUGUAAGCCCAUUGCUGGGGAGGUGGAGAUAGAAGGAUCCCUUGAAAGCUGACCAGGCUGUGAGGCUGGUGAGUUUCGGGUUUAGAGAGAGACCCUGUCUCAAAAUAAGUAAAUAAGUAAAUAAAUAAAGUGGAAAGUGACUGAGGAAGACA
rnacentral:lncRNA from 1 species